GGGAAUGGGUGAGGAAAAUGGAGAGGAGCCAUUUUUCCAGAACACAAAUCCUGCCAAACCCCCCGCAGCUCCCAGUGAGGAGGAAGAGGAGGAUGAGAUGAGUCUGAAGGGCCGCCCACCCCCCGCCCCUCUGUUUGGUGAUGAUGAGGAGGAGGAUGAUGAUCUAGACUGGCUGAACUGAGCUGUAUCCAGGAUAAAAUCAAAGUCUGCGUCUUCAUUUCCAGCAUAUAUAAAAAGGCGCAUGGUUCCUUCUGCAGCUGUGUCUGCCCUGUGGGAGCAGUGAAGAUGACAGGGGCGGCCUCUGCGGCUGGAUCUGAUUGGACGGAGCGGAUCUGAGCGCCCUCCUCUUCGUCUAAGAGUCGUCCUGCUGACUGACAGCUGCUGUCUGUUGAGAACAAAGCUGCUGCUCCAGACUCUGAUUGUGGUUCAAAUCCCAAGCCUGUAAUUCACAGAAGAAUCAAAACCACUUCAUUUCAUUUGUCAUGUGUUGAUGAUGCAGUUUAAUUCAUGUUUCUACAUGGCACUGUAGCAGAUUAGUUUGUCCAAUCAGCAGUAAUCCUGUCGUCUGUUUUCUUUUCUUUUUUAGACUGUAUACCAUGAAAUGGUUUUGAUUAUUAGCUCGCUGCUUUAGAAAUAGAACUUUUAAUAAAGUCUUUGCUAACCUGAAAUUCAUUCCAGAAAAAUAAAGGAGGUGAAAAUGUGUCUCUA